rnacentral:rRNA from 1 species
AACGAACGCUGGCGGCAUGCCUAACACAUGCAAGUCGAACGGGAUCCUAGCUUGCUAGGUGAGAGUGGCGGACGGGUGAGUAACACGUGGGAAUCUGCCUUUUGGUUCGGGAUAACCGCGGGAAACUGCGGCUAAUACCGAAUGCCCUCGAGAGAGGAAAGAUUUAUCGCCAGAAGAGGAGCCCGCGUCCGAUUAGGUAGUUGGUAGGGUAAAGGCCUACCAAGCCGACGAUCGGUAGCUGGUCUGAGAGGAUGAUCAGCCACACUGGGACUGAGAUACGGCCCAGACUCCUACGGGAGGCAGCAGUGGGGAAUAUUGGACAAUGGCGAAAGCCUGAUCCAGCAAUGCCGCGUGAGUGAUGAAGGCCUUAGGGUUGUAAAGGCUCUUUACCCGUAGAUGAUAAUGACAGUAUCGGAGAAUAAGCUCCGGCUAACUCCGUGCCAGCAGCCGCGGUAAU